CGCAUCUGUGCAUGCAGCAUAUCAAUAAGCGGAGGAAAAGAAACUAACAAGGAUUCCCUUAGUAACGGCGAGUGAAGCGGGAAGAGCUCAAAUUUGAAAUCUUCAAGGUUUUACCUUGACGAAUUGUAGUUUAAAGAAGUGUUUUCUGUUGAAGUUUUGGAUAAAAGUUCUUUGGAAUAGGACAUCAUAGAGGGUGAGAAUCCCGUAUUUGACCAUUAUUUUCAGCUGUGUGAUACACUUUCAAAGAGUCGGAUUGUUUGGGAAUGCAGUCCAAAAUGGGUGGUAAAUUUCAUCUAAAGCUAAAUAUUGGCGAGAGACCGAUAGCGAACAAGUACCGUGAGGGAAAGAUGAAAAGAACUUUGAAAAGAGAGUUAAACAGUACGUGAAAUUGUCAAAAGGGAAGCGUUUGACACCAGUGUUGUUUUCUCGAAAAUCAAUUAAAAAGAGUUAGAUUUUGUUGUGUAUUGACCUUAACAGCUUGCAUUUCAAUUUUCUUGCUUUUUUUAAUGCACCUUUUCGUUUAACAAGUCAACAUCAGUUUCUUUUGUUGUAAAAAGGUCAUUGGAAGGUGGCUUUCUUUUCGGAGAAAGUGUUUAUAGCCUUUGACUCCUGCAAUCGGAGAGACUGAGGUCUGCAGCGUAGAUCCUUCGGGGUUAGAUACAUUUGUGCUAAGUUAUAGCUUUUUAUAGACAACUUGUUGACUAUGAUUAGUCUUGUAGCUUACUCGCUUAUGCUAUUUUACCUACGCUUAGGAUGUUGAUCUGUAGUGCGUGCGC
rnacentral:rRNA from 1 species